CUUUCCCCUCAUUCAGUACCUCUUUGUGCACCAGAACGCGCAAGUGGCAGCUUACGACACGGAAAGAGAAUAAAACCAGCGUCUUGCUUCGAGGAAAAGCUACACUUCGAAGCGUCUUUUGCUAGUCCAGCAGAGGAAAGCCAGAAGUCAAGAUGAGGAAAAUGAUUUCGCUGUUGAUGAACUUGGCUGUUUUUAUAAUGGUGAUCAGCUCCGUCGACUCCGCUCGUCUUGCCAAGGGAAUGACCUGUCGGAAAGCCGGAGGAGAAUGCUAUCGCAACGGAAAGGCGAACAGAAUUUGUGAGAAAUAUGAUGACGAUGCCAACGACUGCGGAGGAUCCAGGAAGUGCUGUCUAGUAACGACCGAUCACCCGCCUGGGAUGAUAAGAAAAGCAUUUAAAUGUACGGCACCGUGCGACGUCGGAACUUGCACGCCGAGGCGGCAGUGUGCAGAGGAAGGGCGGGGACCGAGGUGUGGCAAGAGAUGCGUGUGCUGCACCAAAGUCAAACCCUCAAAAACCACUGGACUAAAAACUGGCAAUGUGAGUGAAGGAAAGGGGACCAGGGGACCCAGAAGGGGACCGCAAAACCAAAAUUUCCGCCCAAGGAAAGUAAAGCAAGGUGGUUGUGCGACAACUGAUGAUUGCGAUAUGAAAGGAGGAAAGUGCAAGGCGAAGUGUAAGAAAAAUGGAGAUUCAAGCCUAUGUAGUGGCGACUGCACUUGCUGUGGAGUAUGUGAGGCAAAAAGCAAGUGUAGCCGUUAUGAUGGAGUAUGCAAGAAAUCAUGCGAUGGAACAGAGCGGACGAUAAAGGGAGGAUGCAAGAAAAAAAAGAAAUGUUCUUGUUGUGCACCAAAGUGCGAACAAAACGGGUGCCAAGGUCAAUGCGUUAGCAGCAAGAAAGAAUGCAAUGGGCAGUUUAUCAAGAAUGGCUGUGGCGGAUUUAAAUGCCAUUGCUGCAAUUCGGUCGGUAAGUUGUAAAAAAGGUGUUAACUGAAAAAGGUAAGUUUUUCUCUGUUUAUGCAUACUAUCCAGAGUUCUUUUUUUUUUCAAUAAAACAGUAAGUAUCUGAAAAUAAGCUGAAGUAGCUUGCAAUUUCUCUAAAGCUAACCAGACCCAAAUGAUAUUCACUGCAUCAAGGCUUUGAUCAGAAGGGUAGGUAAUUAGGCAGGACAAUGGAAGAGAAACUUUGCAGAGAAAUGGCUACUCUUUGCACUCCAAGAAGUUAGAAAAUGAUCCCUACAUGGUAAAGCAGCAACCAAGCACAGCUGUGAUCAAAACUAUGACAGUUAGAAUAACUUCAAACAGAACCUCCUUGGAGUUCAACUUCAGCUUUCCUUUUACUGAUCCUCAAGACUUCAAACCAAUCAUUUCAUAGAUGUGAUAAUAAAAGUUGAUGAUUAGAA
rnacentral:misc_RNA from 1 species